rnacentral:rRNA from 1 species
CUUGCUCCUUUGAAGUUAGCGGCGGANGGGUGANUAACACGUGGGUAACCUACCUAUAAGACUGGGAUAACUUCGGGAAACCGGAGCUAAUACCGGAUAACAUUUAGAACCGCAUGGUUCUAAAGUGAAAGAUGGUUUUGCUAUCACUUAUAGAUGGACCCGCGCCGUAUUAGCUAGUUGGUAAGGUAACGGCUUACCAAGGCGACGAUACGUAGCCGACCUGAGAGGGUGAUCGGCCACACUGGAACUGAGACACGGUCCAGACUCCUACGGGAGGCAGCAGUAGGGAAUCUUCCGCAAUGGGCGAAAGCCUGACGGAGCAACGCCGCGUGAGUGAUGAAGGGUUUCGGCUCGUAAAACUCUGUUAUUAGGGAAGAACAAAUGUGUAAGUAACUGUGCACAUCUUGACGGUACCUAAUCAGAAAGCCACGGCUAACUACGUGCCAGCAGCCGCGGUAAUACGUAGGUGGCAAGCGUUAUCCGGAAUUAUUGGGCGUAAAGCGCGCGUANGCGGUUUCUUAAGUCUGAUGUGAAAGCCCACGGCUCAACCGUGGAGGGUCAUUGGAAACUGGGAAACUUGAGUGCAGAAGAGGAAAGUGGNNUUCCAUGUGUAGCGGUGAAAUGCGCAGANAUAUGGAGGAACACCAGNGGNGAANNCGACUUUCUGGUCUGUAACUGACGCUGAUG